UUCAAUUUCUUUCACAUGGUUUUCGAUAUGAUUUUAUUGUCAAGACGGUAGGUUUUGUCGAAAAAAUGUAUAUAACAAAUUGAAACACUUUGUACAAAAUAUGCCGUUCGCAUCGCAAAGUGAAUAGGCGAGCCCUGUAUCUUUGAUCGCUGAUUUUUGGUCUGGCUGCUCAUGGAGAAGGGGUAAGAGUUAAUGCGUGAUUUGAUUAGAAGAGAGGGAGAGGUUGACAAACCCGAUCGUCUUCGUUCUAUCUUCUCCGCCAAUAAAUGUUGCGGAAAAUUUUAUUAGGUUUCAAGUCGUGCGAUUUGUUUUGAGCAAUUUGUGCAGGUAAUGAUUUCGUCAAUAAGAAAGGAUGCUGCGGUUCUUUCGAUCGUCACAGGGAUCGGCUCAGGAUAUGCCUUCAAAUACCGUUACUACAUUAACCUUCACGACGACCAUGUUCCGGACAUAAAUGGGGACGACACUGGAGCAUUUCUUUGCCUGGUUCAGCUGGGCAAUAUGUACGUGAUGCAUUGCGCUCGUUCAUGUUUUUAUUGCAUCUAACACUAUCGCACUGAGCGGCCGGGAUGGGCCACCGGCUCGAAGGGAACAAUCGACACCAACAGGAGAUUGACUACACUGUGUGAACCAUCCUGUCCAGUGCAACCAGGCAACACAACAUUCCUCUUCAGCAACAGCACCAUCAUAAUCCGUGCUAGCAGCAACCAUUGCUGUCGGGAGACUAAAAGAUGCAAAAUUGAUCUUAAAUAAAAGCAAACAAAUUUGUGUAGAAUGAUGA